rnacentral:sRNA from 1 species
AUAUCAAAUGAAAGCUAUUGCUUCCAAGAAGGAAGUACAAUCAUGAAGAAUAAGAAGCCUUAAAUCAAAAAAUUUAAAAGAUGAUCCAGAAUAAAGGUAAAUUGUAACAGGCCCUCUCUGCCUAACGCCCUGGGGAUACAGUAAGGUAAUGAAUGACAAAAAGAUGCCUAGCAAGUUCCCAUUCUGAUAUGAGGUACUCAUUCAAGUAAUUUGUAUUUUUUGAUAGAUGACAAUAUAUCAAACAACACAGACAUGGCCAAUUGUUGGAAGUGAAGAGCCACCCUUGGAUAAUACCUGUCUGUGAGAUUGAAGUGAGUGUCUCGGAUCCCUGUGAUGCUCCAAGGAGGCAUUGUCGGUUUCUUGCAAUAUCAUGCCCAAGUGAUGGAUAUUGGUUUUUCCCCAUUGACUUGAGAAGUGAAAGACCAUAUUUCUUCCAAGUUUCUAAAAGCCAGUCCAUAUGUGGGAAAAACAUCGUUUUCUAACUGCACUUUGCAAACCGACAAAAUGAAGUCUGAUUCACCAAUCUUCCUACAUCAUCACCUUCCAAUGUAGAUUUAGUCAAGAAGAAGAAGUUUAUUUAUAAAAUAAAUCAGAACAAUGAAAAGUCACUUUUCCAGCUUCUUAUUUAUCCUAGAAUUAUAUUUUUUUAUCUUAGGCUUCUGGGAAAAAAAACUUCUAUCAUUGUUAAAGUGAUAUUUUAUUUUGCUUUUUUCUGUCAUUCACUUGUGUUAGCCAGUAUUCUAUUGUUGUGAAGAGAGACAGCAUGAAAACAACAAUUCUUAGUAAAGAAAACAUUUAAUUGGGGCUUACUUAGAGAUUCUGAGAUUUAUUCCAUUAUAUGUAUGUUAGCAGGCAGGUAGACAUUAUGGUGAACAAAGUGCUGAGAAUUCUACAUCCAUAUCUGCAGGCAGCAGAAGAUAGAGAGAACCACUCUACCUGACUUGUUCUUCUGAAAUGUUAAAGCCUACUGCCAGUGACACACUUCCUCCAGCAAGGCCACACCUACUUCAAGAAGGCUACACCAAAAUCCUCCCAAGUAGUUCCCCAUCCUAAUAACCACACAUUUAAACAUAUGAUCCCAUUGUGGGUUGGACUUGUAUUCAAACCGCAACUAGAUUUAGGCAACCUAAAAAUCCCAUACACAAUUCUAUUUAUGAUUUUGAAAGAAAUUUUCCUGAGUUUUUCAUAUAUACAUAUGUUGAUAAAUACAUAUACAUCCCCAAAACCAUUGGCUGUCUUUAGACAAUACUCGAACUCCAAAUACUUAAGCACUUGAUGAAAAGAAAAAGACUCAGUAGCCUAUAAAGAUAUGUAGUAGCAUUUUCACCUUUUAAUUUAAAUGUACAAGCAACACUAUGCACAAAAGUCAAAAUUAAAUUAAGAAUAAGACAUGGGUAUUUCAGUGAUAUCAGAACCUGUAUUAAUUGAUGUGAUAUCCUUUGGUGAUUCACCUCAAAUGUGGUCCUCAACCUUAACUACAGAUUAGAAUUGCCAGAGGAACUUCCUUUUAAAUACUGAUUCUUGAGCCCAACUCACAAGAGAUUCAUAUUUUAAUUGGUUUUAGGUAAAACAUGGAUGUCAAUAUUUCUCAGCAUCCCUGAGAGAGUCUAAUAAGCUACAGGCAUUGAAAUGUGAUCUCCAUGGAGUCUUCACUUACUCUCCAGUUCAGAUACCCGUCUCUUAAAACAAAAAAGCAGACAUAUAGCCCUAUUCUGUAGCAACCUAAGUGUGAAAAUGUGACACAAGAUGAAAAACUUGAGACACUUCGGUACACUGUCCAUUUUGUCUUGUGUUUCAGUAUAGACAGUUUUCUGUGGAAACAAAAGAAAUAUGUAUAUAAAAAAACCUAGACCACUGCCCACAAGCACUAACAAAGGCUACACAGAUUAACCUUUUGUUUUUAAACUAAGAUGCUCAAUGUAUCAUAGUCCUGUAAAGUUUAAGCUCAGUGUAUCAUAGUUCUGUGAAGUUUAAGAUGCUCUGUGAUAUACAGCCAUAAGAUUAUCAGGCUAAAACUGUACUCCACACCUUUAAUUAUUCCUGUAGAGUCUUAUGAAUGGAGAGUGAUUUGAUUUCUAUGAAACUUAGAGAAAGCUUGUAGAAACUAGGGAAUGAAAUACAAUGCAGAUAUAAUCAAGCAUUAUUAUAGCUUGUAAUUAAAAAGACCAACAUCAUAAAUAAGCCAUUUCUCCAUGGAUAUUCUGCAAAGUACACGUUCUUGGUUUGUUGUUAUUAUCAUUUUUAAUUUGUUAAAUAUUGACAGUGACUUUACUCAUUCUUGCUCUUUAAAUUUUUGGGAACCAUAAAGAAAUUAGAGCAAAAAUUAACAAAUAAGAAAGGCUCUUCCUUUAGUAUUCAAAUUUACUGAAUAUGUUUUUCCUACUAGUGUUUUUCUUUUUUUUCCUUUUGA